GACGAACGCUGGCGGCGUGCUUAACACAUGCAAGUCGAACGGAAAGGCCCCGCUUUUGUGGGGUGCUCGAGUGGCGAACGGGUGAGUAACACGUGAGUAACCUGCCCUUGACUUUGGGAUAACUUCAGGAAACUGGGGCUAAUACCGGAUAGGAGCUCCUGCUGCAUGGUGGGGGUUGGAAAGUUUCGGCGGUUGGGGAUGGACUCGCGGCUUAUCAGCUUGUUGGUGGGGUAGUGGCUUACCAAGGCUUUGACGGGUAGCCGGCCUGAGAGGGUGACCGGCCACAUUGGGACUGAGAUACGGCCCAGACUCCUACGGGAGGCAGCAGUGGGGAAUAUUGCACAAUGGGCGGAAGCCUGAUGCAGCAACGCCGCGUACGGGAUGACGGCCUUCGGGUUGUAAACCGCUUUCGCCUGUGACGAAGCGUGAGUGACGGUAAUGGGUAAAGAAGCACCGGCUAACUACGUG
rnacentral:rRNA from 1 species